GCCGGUGUAGCUUAGCGGUCAAAGCACCACACUCAUAAUGUGGGGACCGGCAGUUCAAAUCUGCCCACCGGCA
rnacentral:tRNA from 1 species